GACUCGGUGGCGGAGGUUCCGCGCCUGCCGUCCAUGGGCAGUUAUUGAAAAUUGGAAUGUAUGCAGGAGUCGUGCGUUCGAUUCGCGCCCGAGUCG